GAUGAACGCUGGCGGCGUGCCUAAUACAUGCAAGUCGAACGAGGUGCUUUUGUAGUAAUACGAAGGUAUCCUAGUGGCGAACGGGUGAGUAACGCGUUGGUGACCUACCCCAAAGUGUGGGAUAACAGAUCGAAAGAUCUGCUAAUACCGCAUGUGGUUAUCGGAUUCAGAAACUGAUAACUAAAGCAGCAAUGCGCUUUGGGAGGGGCCUGCGUCCCAUCAGCUAGUUGGUGAGGUAAUGGCUCACCAAGGCUACGACGGGUAGGGGACCUGAGAGGGUGGCCCCCCACAAUGGAACUGAAACACGGUCCAUACACCUACGGGCGGCAGCAGUAGGGAAUAUUGCUCAAUGGGCGAAAGCCUGAAGCAGCAACGCCGCGUGUGCGAUGAAGGCCUUCGGGUCGUAAAGCACUUUUCUGAGGGAUGAGAAAGGACAGUACCUCAGGAAUAAGUCUCGGCUAACUACGUGCCAGCAGCCGCCGUAAUAC
rnacentral:rRNA from 1 species